rnacentral:rRNA from 1 species
CGAACGCUGGCGGCGUGCUUAACACAUGCAAGUCGAACGGAAAGGCCCUGCUUUUGUGGGGUGCUCGAGUGGCGAACGGGUGAGUAACACGUGAGUAACCUGCCCUUGACUUUGGGAUAACUUCAGGAAACUGGGGCUAAUACCGGAUAGGAGCUCCUGCUGCAUGGUGGGGGUUGGAAAGUUUCGGCGGUUGGGGAUGGACUCGCGGCUUAUCAGCUUGUUGGUGGGGUAGUGGCUUAUCAAGGCUUUGACGGGUAGCCGGCCUGAGAGGGUGACCGGCCACAUUGGGACUGAGAUACGGCCCAGACUCCUACGGGAGGCAGCAGUGGGGAAUAUUGCACAAUGGGCGGAAGCCUGAUGCAGCAACGCCGCGUGCGGGAUGACGGCCUUCGGGUUGUAAACCGCUUUCGCCUGUGACGAAGCGUGAGUGACGGUAAUGGGUAAAGAAGCACCGGCUAACUACGUG